GUAAAUAUCAUACAUUUUCAAUGGCUAACUACUUACAAGUGAUUAUUUUUAUUUUUUUAACAAACUCAAGCAUUUGAGUAAAUACUUUUACAAAACAUUUAGAGAUAAAUCACAAGGCCUUCACUAGAUAGUCAAACUACAUGAAGAGAUUAAGUAAAAGAGUAUUAUUCAAGCAUUCAAUAGCCUUCCUUGACUUGUUCAAAAUUACAACAUCUUCAACCAUUCAUUAGUAGUUCAAUAUAUAAAAAACAAUAUAAGUCAUGUUUCAAAUUUCAUCAUCUUCAUCAAAACUCAUGAUGCACUUUAACAUUAUUUUCUAGGCAUCAUCUGAUAAUGAAAAAAAGUAUAUUUAUUGUGAAACAAACUUAUUAUUAAAGUAUUACUUAAUCAUCUAAGGGAUCUGAACAUGUUAAUUAGUUGUUGAAAACUCAACAGUCUUACAAUUGUGAAUUUAAAAUUAAAAAUUUGAGAGAUCUUUUCAGAGAGCUGAACUUAACAAUCGAUGAUUAUGAUCAGACAAUCAAUCUUAAUGGAACCUAAGAACAAUGACUUUUAUUAGAGAGUAGACAAAAAGAGUGUGCUAAACCACUAUAAAAUUUCCUAGUCUUACACUCAUUAAUCAAAGAAGGUUGUAAGGUUUGGAUCCUUAAGAAUGAGAUCAAGAUUAGACUAGUGUGUGGACUGAACUUAUAGUUUGAAUUAAUCAAAGAAGGUUGUAAGGUUUGGAUCCUUAAGAAUGAGAUCAAGAUUAGACUAGUGUGUGGACUGAACUUAUA
rnacentral:lncRNA from 1 species